rnacentral:tRNA from 1 species
CAGGGUGUCGUACAAAUGGUUAGUACACGGGACUUUGACUUCCGUAAUAUGGGUUCAAAUCCCAUUGCCCUUG